CUUAUUAAAGAGCAAAAACUUAAUGGAAAAUAAACAUUUACCUUCGGUUGGGGCGACCGCGGAGGAAAAAUCAGCCUCCGAGUGGAACGGGCUAAAUACCUAAAACCAAGAGAGACAUCUCUAAGCCACAGAAAAUCUGACCAAAAAUGAUCCGACACAUAGUCGAUCAACGAA
rnacentral:rRNA from 1 species